AUAUAUAAAAAAAAUUUCCUGGAUAACCCCUUUAAAGGUGAUCUGGAUCCAAGUGCGACACUUCCAUAUUUGCCACCAGCAGGGGGCGGUAUUUUAUAUACAGAUUCCAGGAAAUACAGCAACCGUUUCGUUUUUUGAUUUUUUUUUUUUGGCCCUAAGAGGCAGCGAGAUGCCUGUAAACGUGGAGCUUAAUAUAUAUAUAUAUAUAUAUACAUAUGCACAUAUAUACAAUAAAUCGCCCAUAGGUACCACCCUCAUAAACUCUCUCUCUAUAUAUAUAUAUAUAUAAAAUAAAGAUGAAUAUAUUACCCUUCAUGUAGAAUAUAUAACACAAACCCUCCGUUUCCCUCCCCCAUUAUAGAUGUCGUCAUAUACUUGGUGGAUCACAUGGUCACUUUAGAUCCUGAAUUGCACUUUACCGGACACGGCCACUUUGGUUAACCAGGACAAUAAGGGAGCGAGUAAACCCCACCCCACCCCCCCGCCCGCGCUUCGUCCUGGCUGCGUUACAAUGUAUCAGUUACAGAAUGCUGGGAAAAACUGCAGUGUUGGGUUAAAACACUGUUUCACAACCGGUGUGCCUCCAGCUGUUGCAAAACUACAACUCCCAGCAUGCCCGGACAGCCGACGGCUGUCCGGGCAUGCUGGGAGUUGUAGUUUUGCAACAGCGGGAGGCACCCUGGUGCUAAAGUUCAGUUCAGCUAAGUGCAUAUCCCUCGUCUUGCAGGGGCGAUCAUAUAGAACCUCAUUUGUUAACCCCUUCCCACCAACCACCACCAAAAAAAAAAUAUAUAUAUAUAUAAACCCACUAAGCAGAUAGAGGGGGCAUCAUUGCACCCCCUUCUAAAAGGACACAUGGAAAGAAGUCGUAUUUGCACAUUGAGAUUAGAUUUUAGGACUACUGUCCCUUUAAAUGUCCAGCUUUAGGCUUGAGGGUAAGUUUUCCUCCCCCCCCCGUUUCGGCCGCCAUGUCUAGGAAUGACGUGAAGCCCUCAGUAUUUACACAUGAAGCGGGAUCGGUCACAGCGAUCAUGGGAUCUAGUCACAGUGUUGCCCAGUUUAAAAUAAAAAACACAAGCGGGACGGCUUCCUGGCCCGACGAAAAUCCAGUCCUGGUAAUUUCUCAGAAUUAUUUUUUUUUUUUUCAGCUUAAACGUCAUCAUUCCUGAGUAAUAAAAAAAAAUUAACGUUUAAAGUUUUGCGUAUUGAAUUGUGUUCUAAAUUGGUCCAAAAAUCGGAGCUAAAAAAAUCUGAUACUAUAUCAAAAUAUAGGUCGUAGCGUCGCAUUCCCCCCCACACAGCCAUAGUGGGAAUUCUGUCUGCUUGUGCCGCCACUAGGGGGAGCUCACCGCAUAGAAUAAUACAGCACAAUAAUAAUAGUCAUGUCCCCCUAUUGGACAUGCCUCCUUUUUGCAUCAUCUGGAGGGCCACAGUUUGGAGACCACUGGUUUAACCAAUAUGAUAUUAACCCUACAGAGCAAUGAUCUUCAAAAAAGUGCAAAACUACAACUCCUAGCAUGUCCGGGGUUGAGGUUUUGCAAUAUUUGGAAUGCGGCAGGGAUAGUCUACAGCAGUGGUCUUCAACCUGCAGAUCUCCAGAUGUUGCAAAACUACAACUCCCAGCAUGCCCGGACAGCCAGUGGUUUUUGCAAUAUUUGGAAUGCGGCAGGGAUAACGUUUACAGCAGUGUUCUUCAACCUGCAGACCUCCAGAUGUUGCAAAACUACAACUCCCAGCAUGUCCGGACAGCCGUUGGCUGUCCGGGCAUGCUGGGAGUUGUAGUUUUGCAACAUCUGAAGGUCCGCAGGUUGGAGACCACUGGUUUACAGUGUAAGUGGUAUAUUGUAUACAUAGUGCCUUGGCCCUCCAGCUGUUGCAAAACUACAACUCCCAGCAUGCCGACAGCUGGAGGGCCACAGUUUGAAGUCGACUUACUUAGUGCAAUUCCAGCCUGCAGUACCUGUAACCACCACCAGAGAGCAGCACUUUGACAGGGUAGGGGGCGCCACCUGAAAUAUAACCACCAAGAUGCUGUGGUCACUACCGACUGCAGCCAUCUUGCCCGAGCUCAUGGGAGAAUUUAGUGGGCAUGCUCAGUGCAAUCACCUAUCCUCAAUGGUGAAUCCUGGGAUAUCUGCCGCCACUUUAUAAUAGGGCACCGUCUAUUAUAAAAGGAGAAAUCACUAAAAAAACAGAUCCUUUUUCCAAAAAUAGUUGUGCUGUAUUGCAGUCGAGUCCCAUUCGUUUCGAUGAGUUGCAAUACCAGACUCAACCAUGGACAGGUGUGGCGCUGUUUCUGGAUGGCAGCCAUAUAUUUUUUUUAAUCUUUGACAACGCUUAUGGCUGUAUGAGGAGGAUUAGGAUGAGUUUUGGACCUAUUUAGAACGAUGAUCGAUCGAAUAAAACAACUGGACGCCAGACGUCGCCUUCGUCACCUGUUUGCUCCCCUGGCGGUCACCGCCCCGGAGACAACUAUCAGAAGGUCCACAUUUCCAAGUCCUGAGUUGGGUUUUGGCAGCUUCUAGUUUUGCUCCUCACCCUUUAGGUUGUCCCUGACGGCAGAUACCGAGCCCCUACAAGAACCUAGGAGGCCCGAGUUAUAAUACAAAAUGGCGCUCA